AGGUCAGGCAUUCAGGCAAACAGACUAGAGCAGGUAAGACAGAUAAUCAGAGUCGAGGAUAAAACAGAACCAGAACCAGAAUAAUGCAGCAAUAGGCAGGAGUAGUAACAACUAGAACAACUGAGCGUUUAUUCGCAAAGGAGUGUACAUUUGUUUUCUCAUUCCAGCAGGAGAUAUCAGACUCUUCAGGACUGAGCUGUGUGUUUGUGCAAACUUUACUAAUAUUCAACGAUGGAGACUCCUGAUCUGGACACAGAUAAUGUUUCCCCACACUCAAAAACCAGUAAACUCCAGGGAGAGAGAUCAGAAUCACCAGCACCCAGCUGUAUCUCCAUGAAGAGUGAUGGGUCUAUGGGCACUCCUCUGGAGUUUAAAGAUGGAGACUCCUCACUUCUACACAGGUAACAUCUCCUCACUGUUAAUGUCACUGCUAAAGUCACAGUUAAAGGGAAAUUCCAAUAAAAAAAUAAAAUAAUGCAAAGGUAAAUAAUCAUGUAACAUUGCUAGCUAACAUUAUGGUAGCUACGUGUGUUGUUAUUAACUUCAGUUAUGUGUCUCAGUGUAAUUGUGAAAGAUCUACAGUUGCUCUCUGCCUCCUGUUGCUCUUCUUGGUGAAGUUCUCCUUCUGUAUAUUCUGGCUCGAACAUGUAUGGUUGGAUGCCACUGUGUAACAGUAAUAAUAAACUUUAUUUUAUUUUUUAUAAAGCGCCUUUAAAAGCAGCUUCUCAAAGUGCUGUACACAAAAUAAGUAGUACACAGAAAAAUAAAACAUAUAAGUUAAUAAG